UACGGAGGGUGCGAGCGUUGUCCGGAAUCACUGGGCGUAAAGGGCGCGUAGGUGGCCUGUGGAAGUCUGCGGUGAAAGCCCGGCGCUCAACGCCGGGUCGGCCGUGGAUACUCUCGGGCUUGAGCUUACUAGAGGCAGAUGGAAUUCCGGGUGUAGCGGUGGAAUGCGUAGAGAUCCGGAAGAACACCGGUGGCGAAGGCGGUCUGCUGGGGUAAUGCUGACACUGAGGCGCGACAGCGUGGGGAGCGAACAGG
rnacentral:rRNA from 1 species